rnacentral:misc_RNA from 1 species
GAAGUCGGAGCAGAUAGUGCA